rnacentral:rRNA from 1 species
GAAUCUUCCACAAUGGGCGAAAGCCUGAUGGAGCGACACCGCGUGAAGGAUGAAGGCCCUAGGGUCGUAAACUUCUAAAAGAGGGACGAUAAUGACGGUACCUCUUGAGAAGCACCGGCUAACUCCGUGCCAGCAGCCGCGGUAAUACGGAGGGUGCAAGCGUUAUCCGGAAUCACUGGGCGUAAAGGGCGCGUAGGUGGUCUGUUAAGUCUGGCGUUAAAGCCUGGGGCUCAACCCCAGAUCAGCGUUGGAUACUGGCAGGCUAGACGGUUGGAGAGGCGAGUGGAAUUACCAGUGUAGCGGUGGAAUGCGUAGAUACUGGUAGGAACACCCAUUGCGAAGGCAGCUCGCUGGACAACACGUGACACUGAGGCGCGAAAGUGUGGGGAGCAAACCG